rnacentral:rRNA from 1 species
ACAGCAGCAGCCGCGGGAAUACGUAGGGUGCAAGCGUUAAUCGGAAUUACUGGGCGUAAAGCGUGCGCAGGCGGUUAUAUAAGUCAGAUGUGAAAUCCCCGGGCUCAACAUGGAAACUGCAUUUGAGACUGUAUGGCUAGAGUGUGUCAGAGGGGGGUAGAAUUCCACGUGUAGCAGUGAAAUGCGUAGAUAUGUGGAGGAAUACCGAUGGCGAAGGCAGCCCCCUGGGAUAACACUGACGCUCAUGCACGAAAGCGUGGGGAGCAAACAGGAUUAGAUACCCCAGUAGUCCCUGUCUCUUAUAC